UACGUAGGUGGCAAGCGUUGUCCGGAUUUACUGGGCGUAAAGAGCGCGCAGGCGGUCGGAUAAGUCGAAUGUGAAAGCCCCUGGCUCAACCAGGGAGGGUCAUUCGAUACUGUUCGACUCGAAGGCAGGAGAGGGAAGUGGAAUUCCGGGUGUAGUGGUGAAAUGCGUAGAUAUCAGGAGGAACACCGGUGGCGAAGGCGGGUCUCUGGGCCGUAACUGACGCUGAGGAGCGAAAGCAUGGGGAGCGAACAGG
rnacentral:rRNA from 1 species